rnacentral:rRNA from 1 species
GACGAACGCUGGCGGCGUGCUUAACACAUGCAAGUCGAACGAUGAAGCCUUUCGGGGUGGAUUAGUGGCGAACGGGUGAGUAACACGUGGGUGACCUGCCCUCAGCUCUGGGAUAAGCCUGGGAAACUGGGUCCAAUACUGGAUAUGACUCCACGGUGCAUGUCGUGGGGUGGAAAGCCUUGUGCGGCUGAGGAUGGGCCCGCGGCCUAUCAGCUUGUUGGUGGGGUGAUGGCCUACCAAGGCGACGACGGGUAGCCGGCCUGAGAGGG